rnacentral:tRNA from 1 species
GAGAGUAUAGCACGGUGGUAGAGCACGUGUUUGGCAUGCACGAGGUCCCAGGUUCAAUCCCCAGUACCUCCA